GUGAACGCUGGCGGUAGGCCUAACACAUGCAAGUCGAACGGCAGCACAGUAAGAGCUUGCUCUUACGGGUGGCGAGUGGCGGACGGGUGAGGAAUACAUCGGAAUCUACUUUUUCGUGGGGGAUAACGUAGGGAAACUUACGCUAAUACCGCAUACGACCUACGGGUGAAAGCAAGGGAUCUUCGGACCUUGCGCGAUUGAAUGAGCCGAUGUCGGAUUAGCUAGUUGGCGGGGUAAAGGCCCACCAAGGCGACGAUCCGUAGCUGGUCUGAGAGGAUGAUCAGCCACACUGGAACUGAGACACGGUCCAGACUCCUACGGGAGGCAGCAGUGGGGAAUAUUGGACAAUGGGCGCAAGCCUGAUCCAGCCAUACCGCGUGGGUGAAGAAGGCCUUCGGGUUGUAAAGCCCUUUUGUUGGGAAAGAAAAGCAGCAGGUUAAUACCCCGCUGUUCUGACGGUACCCAAAGAAUAAGCACCGGCUAACUUCGUG
rnacentral:rRNA from 1 species